AACGAACGCUGGCGGCAUGCCUAACACAUGCAAGUCGAACGGGAGCUUCGGGUUUGGUGGCGCACGCGUGCGUGACGCGUGGGAAACUGCCCUUAGGUUCGCCAUAACUCCCCGGAUGGGGUGCUAAUACCGGCUCAUGUCUUCCGACCGUAGAUUUAUCGCCUUUGGGUGGGCCCGCGAUGGAUUAGCUAGUUGGGAGGGUAAAAGCCUACGACGGCGACGAUCCAUAGCUGGGUUGAGAGGAUGAGUCGCCACACUGGGACUGAGACACGGCCCAGACUCUUACGGGAGGCAGCAGUGGGGAAUACUGGACAAUGGGGGAUAGGAUGAUGGAGCAAGGAUGGGUGAGUGAUGAAGGUCGGAGGGAUGUAAAGUUCGUUUAUCCGGGAUGAUAAUGACAGUACCGGGAGAAUAAGCGCCGGCUAACUCCGUG
rnacentral:rRNA from 1 species